rnacentral:rRNA from 1 species
UACGAAGGGGGCUAGCGUUGCUCGGAAUUACUGGGCGUAAAGGGCGCGUAGGCGGACAGUUUAGUCAGAGGUGAAAGCCCAGGGCUCAACCUUGGAAUAGCCUUUGAUACUGGCUGUCUUGAGUUCGGGAGAGGUGAGUGGAAUGCCGAGUGUAGAGGUGAAAAUUCGUAGAUAUUCGGCGGAACACCAGUGGCGAAGGCGACUCACUGGCCCGAUACUGACGCUGAGGCGCGAAAGCGUGGGGAGCAAACAGGG